GGUGGUCUAGCUAGAGGUAGAGCACGUGCUUAGCAUGCACGAGGUCCAGGGUUCAAUCCCCAGCACCUCCA
rnacentral:tRNA from 1 species